rnacentral:rRNA from 1 species
AAUAUUGGACAAUGGGCGAAAGCCUGAUCCAGCCAUGCCGCGUGAGCGAUGAAGGCCUUCGGGUCGUAAAGCUCUGUCCUUGGGGAAGAAGGUCUUCGGACUUGACGGUACCCAAGAAGAAAGCCCCGGCUAACUACGUGCCAGCAGCCGCGGUAAUACGUAGGGGGCGAGCGUUGUCCGGAAUUACUGGGCGUAAAGGGUGCGUAGGCGGCCCUUUAAGUCAGAUGUGAAAGGCCACGGCUUAACCGUGGGAUUGCAUUUGAAACUGGAGGGCUUGAGUAUCGGAGAGGGUAGUGGAAUUCCCAGUGUAGCGGUGGAAUGCGUAGAUAUUGGGAGGAACACCAGUGGCGAAGGCGACUACCUGGACGAAAACUGACGCUGAGGCACGAAAGCUAGGGGAGCAAAC